rnacentral:rRNA from 1 species
UACGUAGGGAGCGAGCGUUGUCCGGAUUUAUUGGGCGUAAAGAGCUCGUAGGCGGUUUGGCAAGUCGGAUGUGAAAGCUCCGGGCUCAACUCGGAGAUGCCAUUCGAUACUGCCAUGACUAGAGUCCGGUAGGGGGGUGUGGAAUUCCCAGUGUAGCGGUGAAAUGCGCAGAUAUUGGGAGGAACACCAAUGGCGAAGGCAGCACCCUGGGCCGGUACUGACGCGUGAGGAGCGAAAGCGUGGGGAGCAAACAGGG